UCCCGUGUGGCUCAGUUGGUAGAGCAUGGUGUUUGCAACGCCAGGGUUGUGGGUUCGAUUCCCCGGGGGAU
rnacentral:tRNA from 1 species